rnacentral:rRNA from 1 species
UACGAAGGGGGCUAGCGUUGCUCGGAAUCACUGGGCGUAAAGCGCACGUAGGCGGGUUCUUAAGUCGGUGGUGAAAUCCUGGAGCUCAACUCCAGAACUGCCUCCGGUACUGAGAGCCUCGAGUCCGGGAGAGGUGAGUGGAACUGCGAGUGUAGAGGUGAAAUUCGUAGAUAUUCGCAAGAACACCAGUGGCGAAAGGCGGCUCACUGGCCCGGUACUGACGCUGAGGUGCGAAAGCGUGGGGAGCAAACAGG